rnacentral:rRNA from 1 species
GGGGGGACCCUGAUCCAGCCAUGCCGCGUGUGUGAAGAAGGCCUUUUGGUUGUAAAGCACUUUAAGCGAGGAGGAGGCUACCGAGAUUAAUACUCUUGGAUAGUGGACGUUACUCGCAGAAUAAGCACCGGCUAACUCUGUGCCAGCAGCCGCGGUAAUACAGAGGGUGCAAGCGUUAAUCGGAUUUACUGGGCGUAAAGCGCGCGUAGGUGGCCAAUUAAGUCAAAUGUGAAAUCCCCGAGCUUAACUUGGGAAUUGCAUUCGAUACUGGUUGGCUAGAGUAUGGGAGAGGAUGGUAGAAUUCCAGGUGUAGCGGUGAAAUGCGUAGAGAUCUGGAGGAAUACCGAUGGCGAAGGCAGCCAUCUGGCCUAAUACUGACACUGAGGUGCGAAAGCAUGGGGAGCAAACAGGAUUAGAUACCCUGGUAGUCCAUGCCGUAAACGAUGUCUACUAGCCGUUGGGGCCUUUGAGGCUUUAGUGGCGCAGCUAACGCGAUAAGUAGACCGCCUGGGGAGUACGGUCGCAAGACUAAAACUCAAAUGAAUUGACGGGGGCCCGCACAAGCGGUGGAGCAUGUGGUUUAAUUCGAUGCAACGCGAAGAACCUUACCUGGUCUUGACAUAGUAAGAACUUUCCAGAGAUGGAUUGUGCCUUCGGGAACUUACAUACAGGUGCUGCAUGGCUGUCGUCAGCUCGUGUCGUGAGAUGUUGGGUUAAGUCCCGCAACGAGCGCAACCCUUUUCCUUAUUUGCCAGCGGGUUAAGCCGGGAACUUUA